rnacentral:rRNA from 1 species
AACGAACGCUGGCGGCAUGCCUAACACAUGCAAGUCGAACGAGACCUUCGGGUCUAGUGGCGCACGGGUGCGUAACGCGUGGGAACCUGCCUUUAGGAUCGGAAUAACUCAGAGAAAUUUGAGCUAAUACCGGAUAAUGUCUUCGGACCAAAGAUUUAUCGCCUUUAGAUGGGCCCGCGUUGGAUUAGCUAGUUGGUGGGGUAAAGGCCUACCAAGGCGACGAUCCAUAGCUGGUCUGAGAGGAUGAUCAGCCACACUGGGACUGAGACACGGCCCAGACUCCUACGGGAGGCAGCAGUGGGGAAUAUUGGACAAUGGGCGAAAGCCUGAUCCAGCAAUGCCGCGUGAGUGAUGAAGGCCUUAGGGUUGUAAAGCUCUUUUACCCGAGAUGAUAAUGACAGUAUCGGGAGAAUAAGCUCCGGCUAACUCCGUGCCAGCAGCCGCCGCUGUAA